GCGGGCGUGGUGGAACGGAAGACACGUAUGAUUUAGGCUCAUAUGUCGAGAGGCAUGCAGGUUCAAGUCCUGUCGCCCGCACCA
rnacentral:tRNA from 1 species